ACAUGGCUAGCUCAGUCGGUAGAGCAUGAGACUCUUUAUCUCAGGGUCAUGGGCUUGAGCACCAUGUUGGGUG
rnacentral:tRNA from 1 species